CCCCGGCCGUGUCCCUGCCCCUCUGCCCGGCCCUGCCCCAGCAGCCGCCGCGGGGCCGCCCAAGGCGGGCCGGGAGCAGUGGGGUCGGGCCGGCAGCGGGGUCGGGCCGGCAGCGAAGCCAGGCGAGGUCGCUGAGCCCGGAGCUCGGCUGGAGGUGCCCCCUCUGAGCCGCUGCCUAUGCCAGGCACCGACCCAAAGGAGUUCUGCGUAUCUUGGACUGGAGAGACGGGAGGAAAGGCCGUCCGAGGGGAAGUCACUCCUAACACAGGAUGAGAAAGUAUUUCAUGGACGAUGGAGUCUAGUUCCUUCCCUGCAGCAGUUAAACAGUGAAGCCUUUUUCCCAUUGUGGGCUAAUAUCUGAUGGACUAAUGUAUAAAUGGUUUAAUAAGGAAAGAUAUGCAGUGUUCUGACUGACCAGCAUUCUGGAGAAUCUUGUUGGAAUUUCUAAGAAGCACAAGUGAAAAUGAAGCUUAGGGUAUUCUCAUCAGCUGUACUACAUAUGAUCUGGAGCUGUCUUUCCUGAAGCCAGAGAAUAUGAAAAGGAAGCUCUCCUGGUCUGAUGCCUGCCUUUCUCAACUGUGGUAUUCAAGGAGAUGCAGUAGCUUAUUCUACAUCUUUGAACACCAUUUCUCCUGAUGUUUGGUUUCUUUGGUUAAUGUCCUGAAAUGUAAAUAGGAGUAUGAUUCUUAUGUGGUGUGAGGCCAUAAAAAAACCACCUCCUGGAGCUCAACUACAUUUUUUCAGAGUAAAUAACUUGAAAAGCUUGCAUUGUUUAAAGUGCAGAGGAAAGUCUGUGAGAAGUUGUGUUCUACAUAUCAAACAAAUUAUUCUUCUUUACGAAAGAUAUGUCAACCAACCUUGUGGUUUGAGCCCUCUCAUGACACAGUGUCUGUAAAAAGAAAUGACUGGCUUUAUAGUUUGGUUUAAUGCAAAGUUCAGGUUCUACACUUCCCUGAAAUACACAGACACAGGACUUUCUUGGGAUUGUUUAAAGACAGGUUACCUUUCUAUGACAAAAUUCUUCAAAUCUUCACCCCCCACCAACUCAAAAAAAACCAAAAAAAAAAGUAAAAAAGUUUGUUGAAAUAUGCAUUGAACAAUCCUGUGGCAAUACUCUACCUUGUUCUAGUAAGAUCAUGCUCUCCACUCUGCUCUGCCAGUUCCUACAGAGAAAGAUUUUAAAGUUGCCUUAUCUCAAGAUGUAAUUAUUCAGACUAACAAGAUGGAAGGGUUUCUAUAAAGGAAAAUUUGCAUAUGAAUAUAGAUAUGAUUCUGCAAAAGGUCAGCAUAGCAAAUAGUAUUGUUCUUGGACAUCAAAAGGAAUAAAAGGAAAUAAAUGAUUACUGUAGCAUUUAGAGACUCAUCUCCUGUUAGCUGCUGGGCUGAAAGCCUCUUUAAAAGGGCUAAAACCUUCAGCUCCUUUUGAUUUGAUUAAGUGCACUAAUCAUCUGUUCAGCUUGAGUCAGUGUGAGAUCCAAGUACAAGCACUUCACAAGCUGUUCCCUGUGUCACUCUGACCAGAAAGCCACAGUAAAAUCAGGCUGAGACCAGCACCUGCCCAAGGCACCAAGGGGAGAAACUGCUCCUUGGGAACCAAGUCAGCUCUUGGUUAACAAACCAGUCAACUGAAUGCUGCUGCUGCCACCUUUAACCUGAAGAGGGGACACAGGAAUUGACCAGCUCUAGGGUCAAGGUAUCACCAAGACAACGUGCAGCAGCUCUGCUCUAAACUCUGGUUGAUUUUGUAUCCCACUGGGGAUUGAAGCAGUUAUUCUGAAAACAUGAAUUCUAAGUUAAUUAGAGAUACCUCAAAGAAAGUAUUUCAGUUAAAGUUGCUUCAGAGUUGCACAUCUGGCAAAUAAUUCAAUAUUUUUAGCUUUCAGGAAAAUGUCUGGAGUUUAAUUAAAUAUUUUAGAUUAGAGAAAGGUUUUCCCUGGUCUUGAGUUGCUGUAUUUAAGCACCUUUUAAACUGAAUUAGAAAUGUGUUUUGAAUCUCUGGUAACUUUGGCCUUUGAGUGUUCUCCACCAAAAUACAUUUUAUAAUUCUGUACUAGUAAAUGCCACCAUCGUAGAAUAACUUUAUUGCAUAUAUAUGAUAUAGUGAUACUUUAGGUAUAUAAGGAGUCUUUGGUUUCAAAGCAUUUUACCUUAAAUUAAGCAGCUAUGGUAAAAAGAAUGAUUUUUCAUAUGUUACAGAAGGAUAAAUUGAAACACAGGAUGACAAGCCAAAAAACUUAUAAAAAAUUAGUCAAAUAGUAAUUUUGCAGACCUAUUUAAAGCAUUCAUUUUUCCAGGAUGUUUGGCAUCUACAUGGCUUCAGUAGUUCUGUGUAGUCCACCAAAACUUAUGUCAACAAGUCUGAUACGGAACAACAAAUAGUGGAAGUAUAAUGUAUAAAUUACUUUUUUCCCUCCCAGUACACAUUUCAUCAUCCUAGUCCUCUUUUCUAACAAGGAGACUAUUCUUUUCUGGAAACCUUCAAUGUUUCACUUUUUCAGUGGUGAUUCAUACAAAGCUACAUUUCAAAGUUAACGGUUCUGCAGCAACUCACCAAUCUAUCUUACAGUAUCCACCAGUAUAACACUUCUAACGCUUUUCUACAGAACAUUUUUCCCAUCUUUUCAAGUUGUUGUGGGCAACAUUUUACUUAAAAGUUAUCUUGGAACUUGCUAACUCCAUUUAGAAAAAAAGUAGAACUUUAAAUUACGUUUUUUUCCCCAAAACUGCUAAAGGCAACUAAAGUAACCUUUCUGAAAAUUUCUUUAGAAUAAAUAAUUCCUGGGGUAAAUAUCAGUUGUAUUCUCAACAUAUGCCAUGGUUGCAUUGACAAUCAAAUAGUGUGGCUCCUACAGCUCUUUCCAACAGGUAGUUAUUCAUAUGAUACAGUCCUCUAGUCAGCAGUCCAAAGGUCUUUUCAAGACAAGAUACAUAUUUUUUGUCCUAAACAUGUUCAUAGAAGGUGGAUUUGCAUG